rnacentral:rRNA from 1 species
AGCAGAGAUUAAACUGAAGAGUUUGAUCCUGGCUCAGAUUGAACGCUGGCGGCAUGCCUUACACAUGCAAGUCGAACG